rnacentral:misc_RNA from 1 species
GUAUUCUGUCCAUGAAAGGAAGGGUGCAAUGAGUGGAUAUUGGGAAGGUGGUCCUGCAGGAAACUGCUGAAAAAUUAGAUUUCAUGCCUCUUUUCUUUUACUUGUCUGCGUGCAUAAGCAAUCUGGCAUGGUUGACUCUCUAUAUCUUGUAUUUGCUCUUGAAUGGGUUAAGCGAAAAACUUCAACAGAGCUCAUGUCUUGUAUUCUUAUCCUAUGGUCUAUGGCUCAUCAGUUGACAAUGGGUCCCUUUGAAAGGUCAAGUUCCUAUAACUUGUCAAACUUAGAUGUCUAUAUUUACAAUAGUCAAAACUCAAAAGUGAUAUGUAUUAGAUAUAUUAAAUCACUAUUCUUGAUCUCUUACCUACAAGUUUUAUUUAUUAGUUUUAGUGUUUCUUUGACAUAGUGUUAUAGCCUCUCCAACAUAGAGUUCGAACUUUGGGCACCUCCUUUUUAUUAAUUAAAUCUGCACUGGAUAAGAUAAAGCUUAUGUUUGUCCAUGCCAUAAACUCUACAAUCUUGGUUAUUUCAGAGAUAUUAGAAGUAUUCUUGGCACUUACCUACAAGUUUGAGCUUUUAGGUUGAGGGAUACUUUGAAACGAAAUACUCAAGCUCUUUAACUGAGAAUAAUUAUGACUAAUUGAUUGCAACUUCUUGGCAGUUGAGGUGUGCACAGAAAUUAAUGGCUGGACAGCAAAUUUCAGCUGUAAAGUUUAUAUUUUACCGGGGGUUUAGAGUGAAUAAAUGUGCAUGUCCAUGUUAAUUUCUGAAUCACCUGUAAACAUGACUAGGAAAAAGAAGCUGAAGAAUGACUUUUGACUGGGUUAAUGUGUUUUGCGUAAUUGAUGUGCUGAGUUUCCUCUGUUUUGGGGUUGGCAUCAGAAGUUUAUAUAGAAUGAAUAGAAUUGCUACUGUUUAAAUGGGUUUGUCAGAUGAUCUGUCGUAUGUAGGUGAUUGUUUCAAGCGGAAAGCACUUACACUUCCAUAGUUUAACCUUUGCAAGAAAAUUGGUGUUCAGUCAUUUUAUGAGCACAGAAGUUGCUGACUCAUAAGGGGAAUGUGCUCUGCUUAGAAAAUAAUACGUCAUGUGCAAAUUGGUACAACUCUUUAUUGCAAUGUAUGCUGUAAUCUGAUUUUGAAGUCUGUCCUCCAAAUCUUUCUUCCUAUCUAACAUGAGGGCUUAGACAUUCGGUUGUUACAAUGAUCAAAAGAUAUUUUUGUUGGUGGCGUUGUGCUGUUGUGAUUAACCUUCUCAUUUAGGGGUUCAUUAUACAUGGUCUAUAUGAGGCAGGCAUGCGCACAUACACACAUGCACACUCACACGUUGUCAUUCUUCCAAAUAAGAGUAAUGUCUUUCAUCUAUAUUUUAUCCAAAAGAAACAUGAAGAUUGUUCUCCUUUUUUAAUGGAGAGAGAGAGAUUGAUCUAUAUAUGCUACCAUUCUUCCAAAAAAGAUUGAUGUCUUCAUCUAUAUUUUAUCCAAAAGAAACAUGAAGAUUGUUCUCCUUUUUUAAUGGAGAGAGAGAGAUUGAUCUAUAUAUGCUACCAUUCUUCCAAAAAAGAUUGAUGUC